UGCCUAACACAUGCAAGUCGAGCCAGAAAGCUCCUUCGGGAGUAAGUACAGCGGCAGACGGGUGAGUAACGCGUGAGAAUCUGCCCUUUAGUGGAGAAUACCUCCGAGAAAUCGGGGUUAAUACUGCAUACGUACAUCGCGAAAGCGAUGUAGAAAGAUGGCUUAUUUGCUGUCGCUAAAGGAUGAGCUUGCGUACUAUUAGCUAGUUGGUGAGGUAAUGGCUCACCAAGGCGAAGAUGGUUAACCGGCCUGAGAGGGUGUACGGUCACACUGGAACUUAGACACGGUCCAGACUCCUACGGGAGGCAGCAGUGAGGAAUCUUGCGCAAUGGGCGAAAGCCUGACGCAGCGACGCCGCGUGGAGGAUGAAGGUUUUCGGAUUGUAAACUCC
rnacentral:rRNA from 1 species